rnacentral:misc_RNA from 1 species
AACGCACAUUGCGCCCUGUGGUAUUCCGCAGGGCAUGCCUGUUCGAGCGUCAUUAUAACCACUCACGCCUAGCGUGGUGUUGGGACCCGCGGUUCCGCGGUCCUCAAACCUAGUGGCGGUGCCCGUAGGCUCUAAGCGUAGUAAUACUCCUCGCUAUAGGGUCCUGCGGGUCACCCGCCAGAAUCCCCCAAUUUUUCAGGUUGACCUCGGAUCAGGUAGGGAUACCCGCUGAACUUAA